UUGAUACUUUGUCCACUCCUUUGGGGAAGAGUUCAACGAGUUCUUCAUCUUUUACAGUUGGAAGUAUCACAACUUUUUCACCAGGCUGUAAAUACACAGUGAAAUAUAUUUUUAUAAAAUCACCACAAAGUAUAUCUUAGGUAUUAAUUAACUACUUAACAAGUAUUAUUCUAUA